CGUAGGCAGCGAGCGUUGUUCGGAGUUACUGGGCGUAAAGCGUGCGUAGGCGGUGGUCCAAGUCUGGUGUGAAAUCUCCCGGCUCAACUGGGAGGGUGCGCCGGAAACUGGGCCGCUGGAGUAUGGGAGAGGCAAGCGGAAUUCCAGGUGUAGCGGUGAAAUGCGUAGAUAUCUGGAGGAACACCCGUGGUGCAGACGGCUUGCUGGACCAUUACUGACGCUGAGGCACGAAAGCGUGGGUAGCAAACAGGAUUAGAUACCCUGGUAGUCCACGCCCUAAACGAUGCAUACUUGGUGUGGGCAGUUCAGUCUGUCCGUGCCGAAGCUAACGCGAUAAGUAUGCCGCCUGGGGAGUACGGUCGCAAGGCUG
rnacentral:rRNA from 1 species